rnacentral:rRNA from 1 species
AGAGUUUGAUCCUGGCUCAGAACGAACGCUGGCGGCGUGCUUAACACAUGCAAGUCGAACGUGAUCCGGAGCUUGCUCCGGUGAAAGUGGCGCACGGGUGAGUAACGCGUGGAUAAUCUGCCCUGGUAUCUGGGAUAACAUCUCGAAAGGGGUGCUAAUACCGGAUAAGCCUACGGGAUCCUCGGAUUCUGCAGGAAAAGGUGGCCUCUAUUUAUAAGCUACCGUAUCAGGAUGAGUCCGCGUACCAUUAGCUAGUUGGUGGGGUAAUGGCCCACCAAGGCUACGAUGGUUAGCUGGUCUGAGAGGAUGAUCAGCCACACUGGAACUGAGACACGGUCCAGACUCCUACGGGAGGCAGCAGUGGGGAAUAUUGGACAAUGGGCGCAAGCCUGAUCCAGCCAUGCCGCGUGUGUGAAGAAGGCCUUCGGGUUGUAAAGCACUUUCAGCGAGGAGGAAGGGGUUGUAGUUAAUAGCUGCAACCUUCGACGUUACUCGCAGAAGAAGCACCGGCUAACUCUGUGCCAGCAGCCGCGGUAAUACAGAGGGUGCAAGCGUUAAUCGGAAUUACUGGGCGUAAAGCGCACGCAGGCGGUUGGUUAAGUCAGAUGUGAAAGCCCCGGGCUCAACCUGGGAAUUGCAUUUGAAACAGCAAGACUUGAGUACGGGAGAGGAAAGCGGAAUUCCUGGUGUAGAGGUGAAAUUCGUAGAUAUCAGGAGGAACACCGAUGGCGAAGGCAGCUUUCUGGACCGAUACUGACGCUGAGGCGCGAAGGCGUGGGUAGCGAACAGGAUUAGAUACCCUGGUAGUCC